rnacentral:rRNA from 1 species
UUGCCCUAGUAACGGCGAGUGAAGCGGCAACAGCUCAAAUUUGAAAUCUGGCCCUUGGGUCCGAAUUGUAAUUUGUAGAGGAUGUUUUUGGUGCGGUAUCUUCCGAGUUCCUUGGAACAGGACGCCUUAGAGGGUGAGAGCCCCGUACGGUUGAAUGCCUAGCCUUUGUAAAACUCCUUCGACGAGUCGAGUAGUUUGGGAAUGCUGCUCUAAAUGGGAGGUAAAUUUCUUCUAAAGCUAAAUACCGGCCAGAGACCGAUAGCGCACAAGUAGAGUGAUCGAAAGAUGAAAAGCACUUUGAAAAGAGGGUUAAAUAGCACGUGAAAUUGUUGAAAGGGAAGGAUUUAUGACCAGACUUUUUCUAGGCGAAUCAUCCGGUGUUCUCACCGGUGCACUUCGUUUAGUUUAGGCCAGCAUCGAUUUUCGAGGCGGGAUAAAAGCUUCAGGAAUGUGGCUCCCUCGGGAGUGUUAUAACCUGUUGUAUAAUACCGCCUUGGGGAUCGAGGUACGCGCUUCUGCAAGGAUGCUGGCGUAAUGGUUAUCAAUCACCCGUCUUGAAACACGGACCAAGGAGUCGAACAUUUGUGCGAGUGUUUGGGUGUUAAACCCUCACGCGUAAUGAAAGUGAACGGAGGUGAGAGCCCUUUACGGGGUGCAUCAUCGACCGAUCCUGAUGUCUUCGGAUGGAUUUGAGUAAGAGCAUAAAUGUUCGGACCCGAAAGAUGGUGAACUAUGCGUGGAUAGGGUGAAGCCAGAGGAAACUCUGGUGGAGGCUCGCAGCGGUUCUGACGUGCAAAUCGAUCGUCAAAUCUGCGCAUGGGGGGCGAAAGACUAAUCGAACCAUCUAGUAGCUGGUUACCGCCGAA